GGAUUCCUAUCAUUUCCUUUGGUUCUUGGUAAUGCGUGCAAUCAUUAUUCUAUUUAGCUCUGUAUGUGUGAGAGGAGAGCCACAAUGAGAAGAAGAAAAUCAAACUUUGUAGCUAAUAGGGCUUCCAAACAAGAGUACUGGAUAUGAACUACAUACGUAGAAGUAAGUCACAAUUGCAAAAAGUCUCUGGGCUUUAAUGACCUGAGUACUGCUAUCUUUUUUUUUUU
rnacentral:lncRNA from 1 species